CCUACGGGAGGCAGCAGUGGGGAAUAUUGCACAAUGGGGGAAACCCUGAUGCAGCGACGCCGCGUGAGUGAAGAAGUAAUUCGUUAUGUAAAGCUCUAUCAGCAGGGAAGAAAAUGACGGUACCUGAGUAAGAAGCCCCGGCUAACUACGUGCCAGCAGCCGCGGUCAUACGUAGGGGGCAAUCCUUAUCUGGAUUUACUGGGUGGAAAGGGAGCGUAGACGGCAGGGCAAGUCUGGUGUGAAAGGCGGGGGCUCAACCCGCGGACUGCACUGGAUACUGUACGGCUGGAGGGCAGGAGAGGUAAGUGGAAUUCCUGGUGUAGCGGUGAAAUGCGGAGAUAUUAGGAGGAACACCAGUGGCGAAGGCGGCUUACUGGACUGUAACUGACGUUGAGGCUCGAAAGCGUGGGGAGCAAACAGGAUUAGAUACCCCGGUAGUC
rnacentral:rRNA from 1 species